CCCUUAGAUGUUCUGGGCCGCACGCGUGCUACACUGAGUGGAUCAGCGGGUCAGGCUGCGCGAAAGCGUUUCCUAAUCUUUAAAUCCGCUCGUGAUGGGGAUUGACGGUUGCAAUUUUCUGUCAUGAACGAGGAAUACCUUGUAAGCGCGGGUCAUCAUCCCGCGCUGAAUACGUCCCUGCCCUUUGUACACACCGCCCGUCGCCCCUACCGAUUGAGUGGUCCGGUGAGGCUUUGGGAUCUGAGCGGAAAGAGCGUUUCGCUGUUUCUGCUCGGAAAACUCAGUCGAACCUUAUCAUUUAGAGGAAGGAGAAGUCGUAACA
rnacentral:rRNA from 1 species